AAUUAAAACUCCAUUCUUUCGUUCAAAGCGAACGUCUUCUUUUCUUUUUCUCUCUUUCUCCUUUUAGAAUACCAGCAGGGGAUUCAGUUUGAGAGCGUCCUACAGUGAUAGGAGCCUCUAUACUUCCCUCCUAGCAAUCCAUUGCCUGUUUUUUAUAUCCUAACAGCCAAAGAUCAGCUAAUAAUGUGUUACAAACACGAGUCACAACAACCAGCUCCCCAAGGGAAGGCCUGUAUCUUUCCCAGUUCUUAUUUCCAACGUCAAGCUGACCGGCAGCAGUGUGUCCACUGUCACGAUAAACUAGCUCCAGGGGAAGUCAAAUCAGCUUUGGGUGUUUGCACUGUUUUUGUCCUUCGGAAGACUUACGAGUGGAUGACACAUCCUAAACAACAACAAUAAACAAGCAACAAUGUAUUGUUUACACAAUUAAUUACUGCACGUUUUCAUUAUUGCUUUUGUUAUGAAAAACUUUUAAGUUAA